UUUUAAAAAAAAAUCAUCUAUUUGUAUUGUUAAAAAUUAGCAUGGCUAACGAAAUAACGAUAUAGUAACAUGUAGCAUGCCAUGUACCUCAUAUUGAUAUACAGGAACCAGAUUUUAACAAUAGAAUUGAUGAAAUUUUUAAUA
rfam:Gossypium hirsutum cultivar TM-1 chromosome 21, whole genome shotgun sequence